rnacentral:rRNA from 1 species
UAGGGAAUUUCGUCAAUGGGCGCAAGCCUGAACGAGCAAUGCCGCGUGAACGAGGAAGGUCUUCGGAUCGUAAAGUUCUGUUGAAGGGGAAAAAGAGCGGAGAGAGGAAAUGCUUUCUGAUUGAUAUUACCCUUCGAGGAAGUCACGGCUAACUACGUGCC